AUGGUUGUCGUCAGCUCGUGUCGUGAGAUGUUGGUUAAGUCCGCAACGAGCGCAACCCCUAUUGUUAGUUGCCAUCAUUCAGUUGGGCACUCUAGCGAGACUGCCGGUAAUAAACCGGAGGAAGGUGGGGAUGACGUCAAAUCAUCAUGCCCCUUAUGACCUGGGCUACACACGUGCUACAAUGGUUGGUACAACGAGUUGCGAGUCGGUGACGGCGAGCUAAUCUCUUAAAGCCAAUCUCAGUUCGGAUUGUAGGCUGCAACUCGCCUACAUGAAGUCGGAAUCGCUAGUAAUCGCGGAUCAGCACGCCGCGGUGAAUACGUUCCCGGGCCUU
rnacentral:rRNA from 1 species